CUGGAAGAUGGAGGCUUGUUGAAUUGCCUAAUAUACGAUGGAUAUGUCAAUCAUCCUACCACUAUUUAUAUAUUUGACUGAACAUACUCCAGGAUGUAUGGGUUUGGCAACAUAGAAGUUUCCAUAGAAAGGAAAGCAGGGCACAACAAACAAUUUUAAUAGGGACUAAAGUGACCAAGAGAAAUUGUUUUGGUCAAGGGAUAGAUAUGAGGAAAAGCAGGAAAUAGGGAUGGAACUUCCCAGGAUCUUCAAAUGCUGGUGUUUGACAGCAAGGAACUUUUCCAACGUGUUACACACAAAAUGAAACUGUUAGGGGCUUGUUUGGUUUGCUUUUCAUUUCUCCCUCCUUCUCUCAUUUCCAGAGUUGCUAUUAGCCUUGAUUCUCUCACAUGCUAGAGAGA
rnacentral:lncRNA from 1 species